AAAAAAUCAUUCCCUCUUCUGACCUCCCAUGUCGAGACCAUUUAUAACAUGUUAGAACUCGAUUCCUAACAAGGAGGUGCCCGAUGAUCAAAUACACUUUUUUCCAGGGAACUUAAUUAUCCUCAUUCUAUUCAAUGACUGCAGCACCAUCCCCACCAUCAAUGAGCAUGAGCAGAUUAAUUCAUUUGACAAAUAUUUGCCAAGUACCUACAAGGCAUCGUUCUCCAUGAGCACAUAGCUGUAAACAAAACACAGCAGCAAAGGACCCUACCCUCUAGGUGAGGCAGGCAAUAGAAAAAUAAGGAGAUAAUAUGUGAGUCAUGACAAGCAUUUUGAAGACAAAAUAGUGGAAGGGGAUAAGGAGUAAUGGGGGUAAAGGAGGUGCUGCUCUUUUAUGUAGACCGGUCAAAGAGCAGAACCUGUAGAAAGUAAGUGAGCAUCGUGACCAGCUGGGAGAAGAGCAAUGCAGGAAGAAGACGCGGUUAGUGCAAAGGCCCCAGGAAGACUGUGCCUGAUGUGUUUGAGCAGCAGCGAUGAGGCCAGUGUGGCUGGGGCUGAGUGGGUGGGGUGGGAGAGUGUAAGAUGAUAUGGUCAGAGAGGCUGUGGGGGCAAGCCUUGUAGGACUGUAUAAAAACUUAGGCUUUGUAAGAGAGAUGGGAAAUCACAGGAACAUCAUGAUCUGAUUCAAAUUGUCACAGGAUCCCUCUGGCUGCAGUGUGGAGAGUGGCCUGUAGGGGACCAAGGGUGGAGACAGAGGGCCAGUGAGUAGGCUACUGCACCAGUCCAGGCAAACACUGAAGACCUGUGUAUAUGUGUUGUUCCCUCGGUCUGUCUCAGGUCUGUUGAAUAGUAAGAAUGCUUUGCUCUGUUGAAGAUGAUUCCGUUCUUUACAUAAGUAAUUAAAUGUCUUUCCUUUGCUGUUUCCUGAUACCUAAAUGCAGUAAUAUAUGCUCAUGAUAGAAAACUUAGAAAAUAAAGAAAAGCAUUAAACAAUAAAGAUUUCCAACUCCUACAACUCAAAGAAAACAGAUAAAUCAUCCUACUUUAGAGGACUAAAUGUACAGGAACUCAUUGAUUUGCUCAUCAAAAGGUGAAGAGGGAAGAGUAGCAGCCCCAGGUAGAGCUACCCAGCAGGCGAGGCUGCCCUCAGGAACCACAGCCUUCCCUUUCCUAAUGAUUUCUACUCUGUGGCACCCACACUUCCCUCCUCAGGGCUCUGGUGUUAUCCUCCUUCUGGGUCUCCAUCAUAUCUGCUCUCAGCAAAAGAUCCAGCUCAUUCAUCCAGCCCCAAGGGACAGGGCUUCACCUCCGGACAAGGGUGAGAUGAAUGAGGUCUUGGACACAGAAUUUAAGAAGUCAAAAACCUCAGCCAUCAAGAUAAAUCAUAUUAAAAUGCAAUGGUUUAAAAAAUUAAAAUUAAUUUUAAAAGUCCAUGAACAAAAUAUAAACAUUUAAAAUAAAGACAGGGUCCAACCUUGCACCUGCACAGUCCUGCCUUGCUCUCUGCACCCUAACCCAGCCCUGCUCAGCCCAAGAGCUUUGAAUCUGAAUACAAAUCAUUCCAGACUUCAAGAUCAAGUUAAAGUGUUAAUCGUCUACCAGAAUGUGAUUUCUAGCUUUAAAAAGAAAACCAAGAAAACAACUUCCACAUCAAUGCAAAGGUUUUCUCAUUUCACCAGGUUUUUGUUUUCCGUCUGUUUACCUGAUGGUUUACUAAAGAGGUGAAGAAGUCUGUGGCUGAAUGAACACAUUGAAUAAUUGCAGAGACUUAAAUUCUCAAAUAUUCAUAAAAAUAUUUUACCUUUUUUUUUUUUGAGAUGAAGUCUCACUCUGUUGCCCAGGCUGUAGUGCAGUAGCAUGAUCUCGGCUCACUGCAACCUCCGCCUCCUUCAAUUCUCCUGCCUCAGCCUCCUGAGUAGCUGGGACUACAGACACAUGCCACCAUACCUGGUUAAUUUUUGUAUUUUUAGUAGAGGCAGGGUUUCUCCAUGUUGGUCAGGCUGGUCUCGAACUCCUGACCUCAGGUGAUCCACCCACCUCGGCCUCCCAAAGUGUUCGGAUUACAGGUGUGAGUCACCAUGCUUGGCCAUGCCGGUUGUUUCUGCUGCUUGCUGUGUAGACCGCUGUGAUGACCAUCUUCUUAUUGACCCUCCUUUGUCUCUGGAGCCCCGCCACCUGCCUUCUACCUGGAGCCUUCCUUCCAGGUCCUUCUUCAACAUCAGCUCCAGGAUCUGCAAGAUCUUUGGAUAUGGCCGCUGCAGAAGGAAGGAGAACCACUUCCUGGAGAAGCAGGAGUGAGCCAGGAUCUGCCACACAAGAGAGCCGGGAACCCAGGGCAUGGGUUAAGGCGAGGAGCAGGUCCGGAGGGAAGAUCUGAGGCAAAGAGGUAGAGUUCACAGGUCCUACACCCCUCGCACCUACACAGUGUCCCUCCUCUGAUGCUGAGGCUCUCUCUGCCUUCCGAGGAGAAAGUGGCGACGUGUCCUGUGAAACCGCAGACUUAACACAUCUUCCAAAAGCCAGCUUGGCAGGAGGUCACUGCUAGAAGCACCUCUGAAAUAAUCUGAGCCGUCUUACCUGUUCCCCUUUUUCAGAUGGGAACACUGAGGCAGCCACCCUGCAGAGUGAGUCUGCAGUGCUCCUGAGCCACCCCCCUCCAGGCUUGGCAAACUCACUGCCUUCUUGUCUGUUGCCUUGACUGCAGGGAGGACCAGAGGUGCUCAUUUCUGGGAGGGUCUAGGAUCUGCCAGCUGCACAGUGUCCAAGUCAAGGGCUUCAGCAACGACAAUUAACAAAUUCCUUUCUCUUUGCAGAGAGCCUGUCACCUGUGCUGCCUUGAGAUGCUGACAUCUGAGGAUGCCCCAGACAGGGCCUGUGGCUGCUUUCUGAAAUAGUGCAGCACCUUCUCUGCUUCCUCCUCAACCUUCUCCUUCACAGCAGAACCCUGCCUCCUUCCUCUCCCCACAGGCUUGUUUCAGCAUUGAUUUGAUCAACUGAGCACCACGAGAACACAAACCACAUUCCUUUGUUUUUUCAUCACGUUACCCCCAGCACUUAGGACAGUGCCUGGCACAAAGGAGGUAGUCUGUAAAUAUUUGCGUAAUGAAUGAAUAAAGGAGGGCAUGAGUACAUCUCCUCUGCCCAGCACGG
rnacentral:lncRNA from 1 species